UUGUAUAAGGGCACGUUACGUAUGAGGGCUUUAGAAGCCAGCGGGCUACAAAUGCAGUUCCUUGCCGCACUGAAAACAUUGAUUUAACCGCCAACUCGGACUGUGAACCAACCAUGACAACGAACAGGGAGAAAGUAAUUGGAAGUCAAGUCAUUUCAGCCGAACUUGUGGCUGGACUACUACUCAGCAUGGCGUAUAGGAUGUGUUCCAGUUUGGCUUUUUCCUCAGAGGGGGGAAGCGUCAGUGACGAAAGCGCGCAGUUUGAAGUAACGCGCUCACUCGUAUGUGUGUGGGUUGCCAGUAAUUAAGUUCAUUUUCUUCAAAAGCAACAACCAUCCAAUUUCUCUGUCUGCUAAUUCCGUCUCGAGGCUUGUUGCCUUCCUUUCACUGUUGGGAGUCUGCAGAGAGGCACACGUUCAAGGAACAGACUGCAGCCAUGUGUGUACUGUAACAUGAUGUGUGCAUUUUAUUAUAUUAAGUCACUUUGGUAUAGUAAUCAUCUAAACAUAAAUGUAAAAUGCAGUGCUCUCUGUUGCAUGUAAUGCCUUAAAAAAUCAAAUGUUUGUUACAUGCCAGUUAAAUCCAUAAAUCUGGACUUUUUCUCUCCAGCUUCCCAUGGUGGAUGUGGCGGUGUUCUUAUUCUUUCUUCUAAGCAGUUUGAUUCUUUUGAUCUUGGAUCACAAUCAGUUGAAAGGCUCUUUGAAACGAUCUGAACUGCUCACUAAGCCCCAGAGGUUUUUCCUUCAAAUUGAUUUUUUUGCCAACUUCAUUUGUGGCCUCAUGUGGUUGGUUUUUCCAGGAUGGCUUCUUGGGUCACAGAUUAAUGGAUCUGAGGAUCAUCUUUAUCUCACUCGGGCAUUUGGAGCCAUGAUGGUUGGAGACAGCUUUGUUUCUUUUACCACUCAGAAACAAAUGGGAUCCAAUGAGGUAUCUGUCUUCAGCAGCCGAGCUGUGGUAUGUCAUAUUACAACAUAUUACAACUUUUUAACACUGAUUUUGCUCCAACAUGAUUACAUAUGAUUAACAAUCCUUUUGUGUUCAAAAACUGGAUACAACUUCUGUGUUGGUCAAAAUGACUUACAUUGGUUUCCAUUCCAUUACCAAAAAUCAGCACUAUGAAAAAUACUAAAGAGUCACCUAAAAACACAAACCUCUAUUGUUGCUUGUCAGAGACUAAAAAAUAUAAAAUGUGAGAAAUGUAAUAAGUCUCUUCUAUUUUUAUGGUGUUAUUUCUAUUGUGUUAGGGGUAUACAUUUAUUAUACAGUAUA